UACGGGGGAGCAAGCGUUGUUCGGAUUUACUGGCGUAAAGGGCGCGCAGGUGGUGCGGUAAGGCUGCCGUGAAAUCUCCCGGCUCAACUGGGAGGGUGCGGUGGCGACUGCCGGACUGGAGGCACUCAGAGGCCGGUGGAAUUCCCGGUGUAGUGGUGAAAUGCGUAGAGAUCGGGAGGAACACCAGUGGCGAAGGCGGCGAUCGUGGGUCGAUACUGACGCUGAGGUGCGAAAGCGUGGGGAGCAAACAGG
rnacentral:rRNA from 1 species